GUGUCAAAUGAAUUUUUUUCCUUUAGACCAACAAUACAAUUCUUACUCUAGAAUAUACCGUUAUACUCUAUCUCGAAUAAAUGCAAUACUUACUCUAGGCAGCCUAUACAUUACCCUGCUCGAUCAGUCAUGACUCAAAAUUAGUUCCAGGUACAUGUAAUUAACGCAGCUAUUAAUCAUGUUUGUCAUUAGUAAAUAAAGACAACAUCAACCACAAUGCUUAAUUACAAUAAGUAAAUAGCACUUUUUUUUAGAAAAUCAAAAAUCAAGCUAUUAAAUAGGAGUAAUAAUUCAUCGCAAUAUCUAGACUAAUAUAAAACGUAAGAGUUGUUUAGUGCAAUUAACGCUGUAAUUGCAAUAAGCGCCGAUUAACCCUGCAUCGCCAAAUCGCCAAAAAGAAAAGAAAAGAAACCGUCGCCCAGACCGCCGGCGCCUCCUCCUCCUCCUUCCGCCGCCGCGCCUCCUCCUCCCCCAUCGUCCAGGUCGGCGGCGCGCCGAGGCGAAGGGUCGAGGACGGCCUCCAGAUCGGAAGGGGACCCGGCGGCGGUUUGGAGCAGAGGUUGGGCGGAGGCAGCGCAGAGACGGUGGCGGUCGGCGGUGGAGAGGCGCAGGGCGACGGGCCGGCCAGCGGCGUGAAGGCGUGCUCCAGGCAGAGGGGGCGGUGAGACCGGCGGGACGAGUACCCCGUGCACCGGCGUGGACGGGGUCGGCGCAGGGCAACGGGCCGGCGGCGUCGACGGAGUGGAGAUGACAGAGGGCGGCGUCGAUGGGGAGCGCCAGGCCGGCGGGAGGCCGGGCGGUUGAGUCGGUGGCCAGCGGCGGGCGCAGGUCGACAAGUGGCGAGGUGGUGCCGAUGACCGAGUGGAUCUGGAGGCGGACGAAGCGGCGGUGAUGUGCUCUAGGCGGCAAUCCGGGCGGAGAGGCCGGUUGCGUCGGUAGAGAUGGCUCGACGACGAGGACCAUGUCCGCGACGACCGGUGGAGAUGCUGCUGAUGCUUGACUUGAACAAGGACCGAGAGGCCGAGAUCGAUCCCUCUCGACGACGACGACGCAGACGAAGAACCAGCCGCUUAGGAGAUCGAAACCUCCAUGGCGAGGGUGAAGACAACGAAAAAAAGGACGAACUUUGGAUCAACAAAUUGUCACUUUCAAGAAAUUGGGCUUUGCUGUCAGUUAAGUAAGAGACUGAAUCCUUAACUCAGUUAAGGAAAUUCAGUCUGUACUCUAUCCUUCCUCUAAACCAGGAUGUUUUUUUAGGGUAGGCUAGGUAAGGUUACUGUUGUUUGAAAGGCUAAUGGCGAUACUGAUCGAUGUUAGUCCUGGAUGAUGGUUGAAGUCUGAGCAUGUAGUGGUUCCCCGUUUCAGGGUUUUGUGGUGUUGAUCUUAGAGGGAUGCCAACAGUAUAAGGCAGUCACAAUGGUUCAUGUUAUUGGCACACCAAUGCAUGCAUGCCCAGUUGGUGGCUUGGAGAUGGAAUGAAUAUGACGCGUGUUUACCUGGUGCUCCUGUAACCUAAAAUCCACAGUUCCUGGCUCAUUUGCGGCUGUUAUUGAGUGAUAUAUAAACAUUUUCUUGGAAGACCUUCUAAUUUUGGUGGCUUUCAAAAAUUUUACAUUAUGCUGCUGCGAAAAUUUUGUAUGCGAAGAAUAGCAAAAAUUUUCAUUUGCUAUUUCAUUUAUCGCCUGCAUGUGUCAUGAUGUAAUUUGAUGUCAGUGCAGAUAGUUGACAAUUGAUUGGCAUGGAGGUGGAGAGGAAGAUAAAUACAAUGGUUGCCCACAAUACUUCUUUCUAAUGUUCGUGACUGAAACGUUGGUAGAACCCUGCACAAAUAGGUGGUGGCAUCUUAAUAGAAUGAAAAAUGAUGGGAACUCCACAACAGAUUUGUCAACACAAUCAGGUUUUUUCGUUUCUGCCAACGCACUAAGGUGCAGCCGGGAAGGAGCAUCCGAUGCAGUGGGGGAACGAGGUGACGAUCCUGGUGGUCAGCGACGACAAUCGAUGCCAUUAUUAUUGCCUGCUACUAAGACAAAAAUUGGUGACCUGCUGAUUGAUGUUUCUAACUUUCCCUCAAUCAGGUAUCAGCUUCAUUCAUUCAUGGAUAAAAAAUCCAAUAGAUUGUUCUCCAGAGUACAAAAAUUUACAGAAAAAUGCCAUAGAUCACUACGUACUUAUGCUAAACGAUGUAUUUUCAGACUGGUUAGAGACCUGGAUCUGUUUAUUUCCUUCAUUUCAGGCUUCUUGCUGGUUCAGAGCCAUGUAAAAGAUCGAGUUGCUUGAUAAAAUGUUCCACUGCUUGAUUUUUUAUUAUUUUCAGCUUGGCCAUAUUGUUUUCUAAGCUUUGCGAGUAGCUCAAAUGAAGGCCAUGGUGAUCUGCUUGAGCAACAUGGCAAUAGUGGCUGGUACAAGAUAGAAAAGAUGAUGGUGAAAAUUGGUACAAAAGCUACAUGCCUACAUGUUCGACGAAAUACUUCGGUAUCCCCGCUGUCCUAACAAGAAGAAAUUUUGAGCAGCCAUUAUGGUAAAUAUGGUCUGUACUCAAUUUUUUGUGCACUGCUGCAGCCACAAGAUAGAUGCACAUAGAUAAGUUGCUCAAUGAAAUGUACCAUUGGCCCUGUAAAAAAUUGAAUGGUUAGAAUUCUA